rnacentral:rRNA from 1 species
UUUCGCAAUGCCCGAAAGGGUGACGAAGCGACGCCGCGUGAGUGAGGAAGGCCUUCGGGUUGUAAAGCUCUGUCAGGAGUUAAGAAAUAUAAGUGUGUUAAUACCACAUUUAUUUGACGAAGGCCCCAAAGGAAGCCACGGCUAACUCUGUGCCAGCAGCCGCGGUAAUACAGAGGUGGCAAGCGUUGUUCGGAAUUAUUGGGCGUAAAGAGCACGUAGGUGGGUUUGUAAGUCAGAUGUGAAAGCCUUCUGUUCAACGGAAGGAUUGCAUCUGAAACUGCGAGUCUUGAGUGUAGGAGGGGAGAAUGGAACUUCUGGUGGAGCGGUGAAAUGCGUAGAUAUCAGAAGGAACGCCGGCGGCGAAAGCGAUUCUCUGGCCUAUUACUGACACUCGGUGUGCGAAAGCUAGGGGAGCAAACGGGAUUAGAUACCCCGGUAGUCCUAGCUGUAAACGAUGGGCACUAAGUAGAGGGGUUUUA